rnacentral:lncRNA from 1 species
UCACACUUACAUUUUAAUUGUAGUUCACAUAUACCACUCUAUAGAGUUUGACUGGGCUACUAUCGGUAGUAAACUGUUCAGUUUACUAUCGAUUUGUUUUUGAUGAUAGAGCUUCCAAAUCGACGAUCGGCACCGUUGAAUAUGAUCUAGACCAUUUAAAUUAUCUAGAAAUCAAAUUUCAUGAUUUUUUGGCAUCACUAACUGAACAAUCAAAAGGUCACAAAAUCUAUAAUUUUAAUGGUCGAUAUAGUGCGUUUGCUCGUUUAACAGUAUAGAAGAAUUCGAAUCAACUAAAUUUUUUUUAAAAAAUUUUUAAAACUAUUUAAAAUAAGAUCUAGACUCUAGAUCUCAAAUAUAAAAAUUGUAUCAUCACUUUUUGAAGGAUAUUCAUUUCCAGCCAUUCAUUUUUCUGUUCACUUGAUGAAUAAGAGAAUAAUAUCGAAAAUAUGUGAAAUUUGAUUUUCAGAUAGUUUAAAUAGUUUAGAUCAUGUUUAACAGUGCCGAUCAUCAAUUUGGAAGCUCUAUCAUCGAAAAUAAAUCGGUAGUAAACUGAGCCGUUUACUACCGAUAGUAUUCUAGCAAAACUCCCACGCUAUAUAUGCAUAAUGAAUUUAAUUAAGUAGCUAGAUUAUAUCCAAACAUAUCACAUUACCAACGAAGCAAUACAUCAAGUUUUACAACCAGAAUAGCAAGGUGCUCCAAAUGCCCAUAGCAGGAAAUAGCUAGCGAUAACAUUAGUUUACUGAUAACAAGUGACUACAAAGAUGUACUUACCUAUAUAAAGUGCAGGUUAUUUCACUACAUAUCUAAAAGUUGUACUGGAUACAUGUCCUUGAACUCGGUGAGUGGUCAUCCAUCGGUGGCUUGUGGUAUGGCUCUCCAGGCUUAGGUUACGGUUUGGCGACUGGGUUUAGGCUCACCCAUGUGUCCAGGAAUGGGCUCGGACUUGUGACCAGGCUUAAGCUCGGGAGGAUGACUAGGCUUAGGCUCGGGCAUGUGUCCGGGUUUCGGCUCGGGCAAAUGACCAGGCUCAGACUUGGGAGGAUGGCCAGGCUUAGGCUCGGGCUUGUGUCCGGGCAUUGGCUCGGGUUGGUGACCAGGUUUAGGCUUGGGAGGAUGGUUAGGCUUAGGCUGGGGCAUGUGUCCAGGUUUGGGCUUGGGCAUAUGUCCGGGCUUAGGCUUUGGCAUGUGCCCAGGUUUAGGCUCAGGUUGAUGACCAGGCUUUGGCUCGGGUAAACAAUCAGGUUUGAGUUCAGAC